rnacentral:rRNA from 1 species
UACGAACUGUGCGAACGUUAUUCGGAAUCACUGGGCUUAAAGGGUGCGUAGGCGGCUGCCUAAGUCAGGUGUGAAAUCUCUCGGCUCAACCGGGAAACUGCGCUUGAUACUGGGCGGCUCGAGUGAGGUAGGGGUGUGUGGAACUUCCGGUGGAGCGGUGAAAUGCGCAGAUAUCAGGAGGAACACCGAUGGCGAAGGCAGGUCUCUGGGCCGAUACUGACGCUGAGGAGCGAAAGCGUGGGGAGCGAACAGG